CCUCCAAUAAACACGUCAGGCUCAUAUAACAUGUGCGUCACUUUCACAGUUUCACGACAUAAAGGUCGUUUGGAACUAACAAAUGAAUGUCUUAGGUCUUCAGCCAUCUCUUAAACCAGCGUCAUUACAUUAUCACUAGUUUAUUAGCCAAAAACAAGAGGCAACACCCAUGUUUCUCUCUGGGAGGAUGAGGACGAGAAAUGAACCAAAAGCAACUACCACUUCAAGGUAGUUUCACUUACAUUUGCUAUUUUGCUCACUACGUACACGAGUUCACUGUACAGGCUUUCCCCACACACGAGUUUCUCAGAUUUUUAAUUAAACCAAAGCACCCAGGUGCCCAUAAAGUAUACAUAUAUAUAUAUAUUUGAGUAAAACUACAAAGUAAAACUACAAAGAAAAUGAGAAAGUCCUCUUACGUUGUAAAACUACUCUAUAGACCUUCUCUGGCCUUCCCUAUAUUGAGAAACAAAAGCGUAUAAAACGAACUAAAUGCAAGAGAUCGAUGUGAGCAGAGAUUAACUUUUUCACCCGUCAUAAAAAUACCUGGGCAAAGUGAAGCUCGCUAAUGCGAGGCUGACCCAUUUGGCUUUUUCUCGGGUGCAACUUCCCAUGUCUCUUCAGAACUCCCUCCUCCAUAUGGGGCGGCGGCGGCGGCAGCAGCAGCUGCUGCUCCAACAUUGAAGCUGCCAACGUAGGGAUUUAGCAAAGCGGAGCCAGUACCUAUGCCCAACCCAAGAAGAUCAAGCGUGGUCGGCUUGUUCCCAAACAAAUGAGAUGAACCUAUCAUAACAUCUCCAGACGGGAGUCCUAGGCCAAGCCCAGCUGCAACAGCAUUGUUAUCUGGCUUUACAUCCCAUUGAUUGCCGUUGAUAUCUCGACCAGAGGAAGAUGAAACUGGCAAUCCCAAGCCACGGAGAAAUGAUGAGUUUGAUGAUGUUGCACCCAUUUGUGCUGCUUUUUGAAGCAAUGCAGUAGCUGACAUGGCGGGCUGGGGAGACUGAGUAUAGUGUCGAUGUUCUUGGUCUGCGAAGAGGGAGGAGGCAUCGUUGCAGAGAUAAAGAGAAGAGGAAAGCGAAAGCGAUGGAGGUUCUAUGGCUCUGGGUGUUGGUAUUGUAGUUGCGCAAUCUGCGCUAGUUAAGGCGCAAAGAAGAUUGGAAAAUGAAGCUGAUGACGCAUGGGAUGCUGCUUGUGAGAUUGCCGCUGCCGUUGAGGAUGCGAAUACACUGGCAAAUACAUUGCUGGUGGAGCUGGUGCUUGUAACCGUGGCUGUCAAGCAUGUAGUUGCUGGUGUUGCCGCCGAAAGUCCAACUGGAUUUUCUGCUAAUUCUGAGCUUUGAACCGACAGACCCGGAGAUACCACAGUAGUGGAUGGAGUAAGAGGUGGAGGCGGUGGUGAAGCAACCACGCUCUUCACAUUCGUAUUCCCCUCCUUACCCAUAGUCGUUACGGUUUGUGCCCUCGCACUCUCCUCCGCCAAGGCAUCACAGAAUGCCCUAUGCGUUAUGAAGCUAUCCCUCCUGGAAAACAAAGUGCCACAAUCGCAUUUAUACUCUCGAGUGCCACAAGUCUUCAUGUGGGCCUUCCAAUCUGACUGCACUGCAUAUUUCUUCGAGCAACGCUCGCACUUCCACUUCUUCUCGCCGUGCUUUCUGCAAAAGUGCUUCUUGAUGCCGGUGAGGUCUCCCAGAGCUCUCGUUGGAUUGUGGUGAACACAAGUUGGUUCUGGGCACACGUAAACCCGCUUGCGUGGCUCCUUACUGGUUCGCUGCUUUAGCUUCCAUGGUAAGUUAUGGCCGCGGCGGUGAAGCUGGAGGUUUUGGUCUCGUUGGAAGCCUUUGUUGCAAAUCUCGCACACAAACCUGUUUGUGGCCAAUAAGGUCUCUGGCGAUAACGCAACCACUUCAGCAUCUGGAUCUGGCAUUCCAGGGAGGUUUCGCUUCUUCUUUGGUGGCGGCACUGAGAGUGGCGCCGCUUGAUUACCAAAAGAAGACACACUGGUGGCUUCUCCAGAAGCAGUAGAAAUUGUCAUUUGAGAUGAAUUUUCAACUUCUACCAUGCUAUUUCCUUCAAAGCUAAAUCAACCUCAAGGUGACUACACCCUUCCAGUUCUUCUGUCAGUGUCGAAGCGUAGAAUAUAGGGUUUUAGGGUUUAGAUCAAAAAGCUCAAUUACCAAGGCAAAUGGUGAACUCAGCCAAAACUAGCUACACCUACCUAUUCUGGACGAAUGAAUUCUAAAUUAACACAAAAUACCAAUUAACUACAAUUGGUGUUUUAAUGCAUAAAGACUGAUUGUUUCUCUGCAAUUGGAUCAUUCCAUAGGAAAACAGAAGGACCUAGUUUUACAAAAUUCUUCCCUCUGAACUCCCUCGAAAUGAAGCGAAACAAAACACCGAUUCAACUUAGUCGGUGACCGGUGGUUCACGGUCCCCAAAGGCGGCUUUUUCAGUUCAUACUCAUCUCCGUAUAGAGAGAGAGAGAGAGAUGGCAGAAACA
rnacentral:misc_RNA from 1 species